rnacentral:rRNA from 1 species
ACUANGCCUAGUCGUAAACUUUAACUCACCUCUCCAUCGCCCGGGAACUACGAGCUAAGCUUAAAACCCAAAGGACUUGACGGUACCCCAUAUCCCCCUAGAGGAGCCUGUCCUAUAAUCGAUAACCCCCGCUUAACCUCACCAUUUUUUGCUAAUCAGCCUGUAUACCUCCGUCGUCAGCUUACCACGUGAGCGUUAGUGAGCCUAAUGUUUUUCCAACUAUACGUCAGGUCAAGGUGCAACAUAUAAAAUGGAAAGAGAUGGGCUACACUUUCUAUAAUAGAAUAAACGAAAGACUUAAUGAAACCUAGUCAGAAGGCGGAUUUAGAAGUAAAGUGAAACUAGAGUGUUCACCUAAAUGCGGCACUGGGGUGUGUACACACCGCCCGUCACCCUCCUCAGCUCUGCAUAAAAGUUUUUAACACCUUUUUAGAGACUCAGAAGAGGCAAGUCGUAACACGGUAAG